CGCAAAAACGCAACAACAACAAAAAUUUGCUCUCAUGCAAAUUUACUCGCAGUAAACACUCGUUUGGUGGUCACACAUAGCUGUAUGAACGUGCAACAAUUUUAAACUUCCGAAAAUGGUGACGUUUUUACAAAGUUCGCGGAUUCGAGGAAGAGCCUGAAAAAAAUACAUUCAAAUUGAAUUUUUAAGAAAAUGAAUCGCAGACGUGUACUCUUGGCCACUGCAGCUGCAUUAUUGCUGGAAGACGAAGAUGAACCGGUGAAGAAAAAAAGGAAAAUUUGGGCGAGAAAUUUUUAUUUUCGUGGAGCCAGUAAUCCCUACUUCCACACUUUAAUGGCCGAUUUGACGAAUGAGGGACCCGAUUUUUUCAAAAGUUUUGCGCACAUUUCCCUGGAUGAUUUUAAAUUUUUGUGCCAAAAAGUGCAUUCUCGAAUCGAAAAACAGGACACUCAUAUGCGCAUAGCUAUUUCUGCCGAAGAGAGGCUCGCAAUAACACUUAAAUUCCUAGCAACCGGAGACAGUUAUGGUACACUAUCGGAGUUGUUUCGUAUAUCACGACCUUCGAUAGUGGAAAUCGUACCAGAAGUAUGCCAAGCGAUUUUUGAUGCCCUAAAGGAAGACUACUUGCAAGACCGAUGGUUUUUCAAGCUGCGUUAACGUAUACGUCUACAUUACUCCAUUUGAUGCUGGGUACCUUGCGUGAACGCGGCGUUACCGCAGCUUAAACAACCGCUACGUGCAUGGUCAUCGGCCCUAAGACCGCCUUAUCAGAAUGAAUACUGUUCGCGUGACUUCAAAACAAAAUGCUGCUGUGAUCCUGGAAUGCCAUCACUAUUUUGACUGAUGUGACCACUCCAUAUUGCUCCACACAAAUCGAGUACACCAUUGAGAUUCAAAAGAUGUCAUUGUAAUUAUUGAUUCAUCGGAAGUUUUUCGGUGUCCAUCAAAGUGUUAUAAAGGGUUAAACGCUAUGCUAUGAUUAAAAUUCCACACAGGCGAUGAAGUUGAAGCCUGCGAUGCAGCAUUCUUUUCGACCCUUUGUACAGCUAGGCAACGUUUUGAAUUACUAAAAGCGUGGCAGCUUCGAUCGAUAAUGCUAUGUAGCAGGUUGAUAUGAAAACACAGGCAAUGUCUAUUGUAUUUAAUUAUAUGAGG